rnacentral:rRNA from 1 species
GACGAACGCUGGCGGCGUGCUUAACACAUGCAAGUCGAGCGGUAAGGCCCUUUCGGGGGUACACGAGCGGCGAACGGGUGAGUAACACGUGGGUGACCUGCCCUCAGCUCUGGGAUAAGCCUGGGAAACUGGGUCUAAUACUGGAUAUGACUCCACGGUGCAUGUCGUGGGGUGGAAAGCCUUGCGCGGCUGAGGAUGGGCCCGCGGCCUAUCAGCUUGUUGGUGGGGUGAGGCCUACCAAGGCGACGACGGGUAGCCGGCCUGAGAGGGCGACCGGCCACACUGGGACUGAGACACGGCCCAGACUCCUACGGGAGGCAGCAGUGGGGAAUCUUGCGCAAUGGGCGAAAGCCUGACGCAGCGACGCCGCGUGAGGGAUGACGGCCUCGG